rnacentral:rRNA from 1 species
UACGUAGGGGGCAAGCGUUGUCCGGAUUCAUUGGGCGUAAAGGGCGCGUAGGCGGCCUGCUAAGUCGAACGUGAAAUCCCUGGGCUCAACCCAGGAACUGCGUCCGAUACUGGUUGGCUUGAAUCCGGGAGAGGGACGUGGAAUUCCAGGUGUAGCGGUGAAAUGCGUAGAUAUCUGGAGGAACACCGGUGGCGAAGGCGACGUCCUGGACCGGCAUUGACGCUGAGGCGCGAAAGCCAGGGGAGCAAACGGG